rnacentral:tRNA from 1 species
GCGCCUAUAGCUCAGUGGUAGAGCACUACUCUUAUAAAGUAGGAGUCCUUGGUUCGAUCCCAAGUAGGCGCA